ACACUCCUGCGGGAGGCAGCAGUGGGGAAUAUUGCACAAUGGGCACAAGCCUGAUGCAGCCAUGCCGCGUGUAUGAAGAAGGCCUUCGGGUUGUAAAGUACUUUCAGCGGGGAGGAAGGCGAUAAGGUUAAUAACCUUGUCGAUUGACGUUACCCGCAGAAGAAGCACCGGCUAACUCCGUGCCAGCAGCCGCGGUAAUACGGAGGGUGCAAGCGUUAAUCGGAAUUACUGGGCGUAACGCGCACGCAGGCGGUCUGUCAAGUCGGAUGUGAAAUCCCCGGGCUCAACCUGGGAACUGCAUUCGAAACUGGCAGGCUAGAGUCUUGUAGAGGGGGGUAGAAUUCCAGGUGUAGCGGUGAAAUGCGUAGAGAUCUGGAGGAAUACCGGUGGCGAAGGCGGCCCCCUGGACAAAGACUGACGCUCAGGUGCGAAAGCGUGGGGAGCAAACAGGAUUAGAUACCCUAGUAGUCCCAUGA
rnacentral:rRNA from 1 species